rnacentral:antisense_RNA from 1 species
AACAAGCAGCAGAGCUGCCCAGCAGCGACCACAUUAGGAAGGAAUCGGAAACCAACGCUCCGCUGGCUGUCACCCCUUACCCACUUGCUGUCAGACCACAGCCUGAGGCAGCCAAACCCAUUUCCUUGGGGAUCCAGCGCAAACCAGAGAGUGUGGACAGGCCGAUGGAAGAAUGUUGGACCAGCUUUAAGAAUGGGCUGUUCUAAGUCAUGAAUAUUGUAGGAAGCAGCUCUAAGGACCACAGGGCUGGAGGGUGCACAGGAAGGGUCCAGUGCAUACAGGUGUCCAAACAGUGUCAUCCGGUGUCCUGACAUGGGGCCCCAAUGGACUGACCCAGGGUGGAAAGAAAGAGUGAGAAGAAAUCAGACGGAAGAAUUUAGGAGAUGUGGCAACAGAGUGGAUGUAGCAGAAGGGACACAGAGAGUGCCUAAAGAUGACUCUUUGGUCAGCAUGUGAUGAAAAGAAUGAAGACAUUGGGGAAGUGGGGAGCAGAAGCGGAUGUGGGCCCAGGAGGGAAACGGUAGAUUUGGACUGGGGCAUGCUGACGUCAGCAGCAACAUCGAAGUCCUGAGCACCCUCAUAUUGUUGCAGAUUCCAGACAGCAGAGAUGGCAAAAAGAUGCAUGGAAGAGAGACACAGCAGGGUCAGGUUCUGGCCUCAGGAGCCAAGGGGGAAGUGCCUGAGAAGGAGACCCCCAAAUGAGGCCUGUGUCAAUGAGGUCUUUAGGGGACUGGUUUCCAUGUAUGCCAGGCCAUACUCCCUGGAUUCCCAGCAUUGAGAAGACCAAACACUUCUACACAUUUAUUACUGAAGCCCCCUGUAAGCUGAAGGUGGAGGAAGUAGCCAAUCUCCUAAGCCGUGUGUGGCUGAGGCAGUUGUCAGAGCGGUGACGAGGGAAAUGCUCAUUAUUCUUCUAUCCCUCACUUGGCCAAAUAAAGAACUUCUUAGAAUUCUUCCCCUGUGACAAAACGGGGCUGUAAUUCGGAAAGCCUCAGGCAAGUUUGCCAGGGCCGCGGUAACCAAGCACCACAGACUAGGUGGCUUCAAGACUGGACGGCUUCAACAGAAAGUUAUUUUUGCUCAAUUCUGGAAGCCGGAAGUCCAAAAUCAAGGUACUUGCAGGGUUAGUUUGAUCUGAGGGCUGCGAGGGAAGGACCUGUUGUAGACCUCUCUCCUAGGUUUGCAGGCCUUGGUCCUGAUGUUCACAGGGCAUCCUUCCUGUGCCUUCACAUCAUCUUCUCUCUGAAUGUAUCUCUGGGUCCAAAUUUCCCUAUUUUAAAAUAAGGAAAUCAGUCCUAUUGGGUUAGCUCCCCGCCCCUCACUUUAACUUGAUUACCUCUGUAAAGACCCUACCUCCAAAUAAGAUCACAUUCUGAGUACUGAGGGCUAGGACCUCAGUAUCUGAAUUCAGGGUGGGUGGAUGCACAAUUCAUUCCAUAACGUUAAGAAGGAAGGGAUAAGUGCCCAAGGAAUCACAUGCUCGCUCAGGGAGAGUUCCAAGCGUGCAGAGCUGGUGGUCAUAGCCUAGCCUCAGGCCUUUGGAAAUCCCCUAAAUCUGGUUUUCCCAGUUCUCAUAAUCUCAUUUCACCAAAAUACGGCAUCUCAAUACAUUCCAUGCAUUUCUGGUGACAAGCUCAUUCUGGUGCACGCUAAGCAAUGUGCUAACUACGUCUUAACUGGGUGGUUAGGGUGGUUUAACUGGUUUGGUUAACAUAGAUCUCUGAGGCAUUUCACCCAUUCCUUAAGCCUAAACAAAUCUCAUCCAGGUGUUUAAGACAUUGCAUAAUAUUAGACCAUUUGAAGCUUCAUCUCCUUGGGGCAAUGAUGAUGAUGGUGAUGAAAGUGGCUGGUGACUGUUCUCAGUUUCAUCGCCAUAACGCAACCCUAUGUUGUGUUCCUCCACACUGGUGUGAGGGACACUACUGAGUGAGGCAGAGUUUGCACUCAGGAUAGAGAAAUAUAGACUCAUGCACAGAUUCCAGCUGAGUCCCUCCGAUGUGCUAGGUACUAUGUCCAGCCCCCCAGGAUUCACCUGUAAGCAGGACAGUCUUUUGGAUGACAGAGGGAAUUCUCAUAUAUCCACAGGCAGAUGGAAUUUACAAGUGAAAAGACCUAGAAGCUCAGAGACAGGGGGACUGAACUUUUUGCUUUCAGUCAGAAUCUUUGCUUACGGUUGUGCAAAUGCUUGCAUUGGUGGGUAUCCAUGCCAUAUAACGUGCUACCUAUUUUUACAUUACCCUUGCACAUAAGCAUACUAUUGGGAGGGAAAAUGAAGAGGGUGGAGGUGGUAACAAACUCAAGCUAAGGAAAUGGGAUUUGGAUGGGUACAAAGUCCACAGAAUUAGCUUGAGGAAAAUGAACCAGGAUUCACACAGGAGUUUUCAAACAUCUCAAUAUCAGGACCCCUUUACCCUCUUAAAACUUACUUCAUGAGGACCUUAAAGAGCUUUUGUUUGUGUGACUUAGAUGUAUUAAUAUUUACUACAUUAGAAAUUAAAAGUAAGAAAUGGUUGU